GUUUGGAGAUUGCAAAUUUGCAUGAACACUUUUUCUUGAUUACUUCAUUAAUUUCUGCGAUUUGCAAUUUGCCAUAUGGGUUUUUCUGGAUUCCAUUUCUUUUAUUUAUGUGAUUUUAGUCAGUGGUAGUCAGCUGCAUGCAAUGAGAGACAUUUGAGGCUUUAGCUAGGAAUUUGGUUUCUCUUAAAAGUACUUCUGCAAUUGGUCAGAAUUUAUUGGAGUUACUAAAAUUACCCAAUUACCAGUUUCUGUUUUACUGUAGUUGGUAAUGAUUUGUGAGCAGAUUGUACAUUGAAAAUAUGGGUAAUGUGUGAAUUGAAUUUCGAUGGCUAAACUAAUACGACAAACUGGUAAAAAUCCAUCACUGAAAAAAGAUAAAGCAUCACAACCGUAGAGUUUUGCCGAAUGAAGAAUUAAAACCGCGACGUGGGAUUCAAUCACCCUCCACGUUCUGCAAACUACCACCCAGAUUGACAAAGACUCUUCCUCUACAGAGAAGAGGGGAGGGAGAAACAAAGAUACAGAUUGACAAAGACUCUUCCUUUACAUCGACUGAUUCUUAUUGCAUGUAACUUUCAAACUUGAUUCUCAAUGUUCUAUGUAUUCCUUCCAGCAUUUGUUCAAACUUUCAAACUUGACUCUACUCGCCAUGAUCAACAAUUGCAGCUUCUUAAAACAGCCUUUCACUCACCAUAAACGACAAGUGCAGCUUCUUUAGCAAGGAAUUUUGGAAUUUAGUUUUGUGCGGACAAAGUGUGGGCUUCGAGAGCAAGCCAAAACUAUCUAGCGAUUCAAUAGAAUUGGAGAAAGAUUUUCUAGGGUGAACCAUAGCCUGUACUCGACUAUUGAGCCAUAUAGUUUCUGGUUUCUUAAGGUUUUGGAUAUCCACACAAUCUAUUAGGACCUGUCUGGAAAUCCCCACGGACAUGAGGAGGAACUUCACCAAGUAUUCAAAGUAAUCAAAGAUUCUUCAAUCCCGAGUUUUACCUAUCAUUCUGUUUGAUUAGGUUGCUACUUCACCCUUUAUGAUAAGUUAUUAGAUGCAUUUUAGUGUGUCCUACAUUUGAUAACUGAGUUAUUUCGUUAUUGCUAGAAAGGUAAAUUUUACGCUAGAUUGCUAUGCAAGGUAUGUAACUAGAUAGUUUGAUGAGUCUGAAUUAUUUUUUUUAUUAGGGCUGUUGCUACUUUUUUAAUUACGCUUGACAAUUAGACUGCUUGAUCGGAUAUGUAAUUAUCAGAGAAAUUACAAAUCAAUAGUAUGAUCGUUGUGAA